CUUAAAGGCCGAAUAUCUAAGGUUUCCAGGGUAACUGAUCUUCCCUGGGUAAGUCGGGGCCUAAGGCGAGGGCGAGAGCCGUAGUCGAUGGAUAACAGGUUGAAAUUCCUGUACUGCUUAUGGACAGAACUGUGGGGACGCAGAAGGAGAGCACGAGCCGGAAAUGGAAAAGCCGGUACAAGCGUAUAGCAGUCAUGCAGGCAAAACCGCAUGAAAAAUGUAAAGCGUUAUGUGGAUCGAACAUUAGUAGAGAAGCGUGUGAGCCAGCUGCCAAGAAAAGCCGCUAUUGUUUCAUAAGUACCCGUACCGUAAACCGACACAGGUGGAUGAGGAGAGAAUCCUAAGGCCGGCGGGAGAAGUGUUGUUAAGGAACUCGGCAAAAUGACUCCGUAACUUCGGGAGAAGGAGUGCCACAGAGAUGUGGCCGCAGAGAAAUGGCCCAAGCAACUGUUUAGCAAAAACACAGGUCUAUGCAAAACCGAAAGGUGAGGUAUAUGGGCUGACGCCUGCCCGGUGCUGGAAGGUUAAGAGGAGAGGUUAGAGCAAUCGAAGCUUUGAAUUUAAGCCCCAGUAAACGGCGGCCGUAACAAUAACGGUCCUAAGGUAGCGAAAUUCCUUGUCGGGUAAGUUCCGACCCGCACGAAAGGCGUAAUGAUUUGGGCACUGUCUCAACAACACACCCGGUAAAAUUGAAAUACCAGUGAAGAUGCUGGUUACCUGCGCCAGGACGGAAAGACCCCAUGGAGCUUUACUCCAGUUUGAUACUGGGAUUCGGUACUGUCUGUACAGGAUAGGUGGGAGGCUAGGAAAUGGUGACGCCAGUUGCCAUGGAGCCAACCUUGGGAUACCACCCUUACAGUACUGGGUUUCUAACCUGCAGCCGUAACCCGGCUGGGGGACAAUGUCUGACGGGGAGUUUGACUGGGGCGGUCGCCUCCGAAAGAGUAUCGGAGGCGCUCAAAGGUUCCCUCAGAACGGUUGGAAACCGUUCGAAGAGUGCAAAGGCAGAAGGGAGCUUGACUGCGACACCGACGGGUGGAGCAGAUACGAAAGUAGGACUUAGUGAUCCGGUGGUAUAAAGUGGGAUUGCCAUCGCUCAACGGAUAAAAGCUACCCUGGGAUAACAGGCUUAUCACUCCCAAGAGUUCACAUCGACGGAGUGGUUUGGCACCUCGAUGUCGGCUCAUCGCAUCCUGGAGCUGUAGCAGGUUCCAAGGGUUGGGCUGUUCGCUCAUUAAAGCGGUACGCGAGCUGGGUUCAGAACGUCGUGAGACAGUUCGGUCCCUAUCCGGCGUGGGCGUAGGAUAUUUGAGAGGAGCUGUCCUUAGUACGAGAGGACCGGGAUGGACAAACCUCUGGUGUAUCUGUUGUUUUACCAAAGGCAUGGCAGAGUAGCCAAGUUUGGCAGGGAUAAACGCUGAAGGCAUCUAAGCGUGAAGCCCCCCUCAAGAUAAGAUAUCCCAUCUUCGGAGUAAGACCCCUUGAAGACUACAAGGUUGAUAGGCUUCAGGUGUAAGUGCGGUAACGCACUCAGCUGAGAAGUACUAAUAGGUCGAGGACUUAUC
rnacentral:rRNA from 1 species